ensembl:lncRNA
CGCAGCUGAAGUUCGCGGUGCUGAUUGGCUGAGUAAUACUGUGAUAGAGCGAGACCAACGGCAGAUGUUCCAGAAAUCUCCCUGAGAUUGAUCAUUGAGCUUUAUCUCCUGAGCAAUUCUUGAGAUUACAGCAUUACGAGCACUACAAACUCUCCACUGCACAAUAUCCGGUAAGUUUUUUUUUUUUUUUUUUUUAUAUUGAUAAAAUAUGAACAGAUGACAAAGCAAUAUUAAUGAGAUACUACUGAGUCAUUGAUGCACUAUAGCACUUAAGAACCUGUGACUAGCUUGUGGAGUUUA